rnacentral:ncRNA from 1 species
UUAUUUUAAAAAUAAUUAUUUACUUUAAAAGUUUUAUUUUGGCUUGAUUAUUUUUUGUUUAUAUUUAUAUUAUAAGAAGAUUUUAUUUUAAAUAGUUUAAAAAUUUAGUUAAUAAUUUUAAGUUAAUAUUUUUUAAUUAAUAAAUUAGUAAUAUAAAAAAGUUUUAAUAAAAUUUGUGCCAGCAAUUGCGGUUAAACAAAUAAAGCAAAAAAAUAUAAUUUGAAUGUAAUAAAUUAUUUAUUUAAUUAAUUUAAUAGUAAUUUUAUUAAGUGAAAUUUUAAUUUUAUUAAGUUUUAAUAGUUAUAAUGAUUUUAUAAAAUUUUAUAGAAAGACUAGGAUUAGAUACCCUAUUAUUUUAUUUUGUAAAUUUAAAAUUUAAAAUAUUAAUAGAUUAGGAUCUUUAAAAUUAAAAAAUUUGGCGGUAUUUUAUUCAAUUCAGAGGAAUCUGUAGUAUAAUUGAUAAUCCACGAUUUACUUUACUUUUAUAUAUAUUUGUAUAUCGUCGUUUUAAAUGAAUAUUUUAUUAGGAUAUUAAUAUUCUAUAAAUUUAAAUAAAAAAUUUAUUUCAGAUCAAGGUGCAGUUUUAAAAAGUAACUAUGGAUUACAAUUUUGUAAUUUAGAAUAUAGAUUAAAUAUUUAAUAAUAUUUAUGAAAGAGGAUUUGGUUGUAAGAUUAAAAAAUUUAAAAUCUGAUAAUUUGCUCUAAAAUGUGCACAUAUUGCCCGUCAUUUUCAUUUAAAUUGGAACAAGUCGUAACAUAGUAGAUGUACUGGAAAGUGUAUCUAGUCU